rnacentral:rRNA from 1 species
CAAGACCUUGUGCUUUAGGAGCGGCCGAUGUCGGAUUAGCUAGUUGGUGAGGUAAAGGCUCACCAAGGCGACGAUCCGUAGCGGGUCUGAGAGGAUGAUCCGCCACACUGGGACUGAGACACGGCCCAGACUCCUACGGGAGGCAGCAGUGGGGAAUUUUGGACAAUGGGCGCAAGCCUGAUCCAGCCAUGCCGCGUGGGUGAAGAAGGCCUUCGGGUUGUAAAGCUCUUUCGGCGGGGAAGAAAUGGCACUGGCUAAUAUCCGGUGUUGAUGACGGUACCCGCAUAAGAAGCACCGGCUAACUACGUGCCAGCAGCCGCGGUAAUACGUAGGGUGCGAGCGUUAAUCGGAAUUACUGGGCGUAAAGCGUGCGCAGGCGGUUUUGUAAGUCAGAUGUGAAAUCCCCGGGCUCAACCUGGGAACU